AGUGAACGCUGGCGGUAGGCCUAACACAUGCAAGUCGAACGGCAGCACAGUAAGAUCUUGCUCUUACGGGUGGCGAGUGGCGGACGGGUGAGGAAUACAUCGGAAUCUACUUUUUCGUGGGGGAUAACGUAGGGAAACUUACGCUAAUACCGCAUACGACCUACGGGUGAAAGCAGGGGAUCUUCGGACCUUGCGCGAUUGAAUGAGCCGAUGUCGGAUUAGCUAGUUGGCGGGGUAAAGGCCCACCAAGGCGACGAUCCGUAGCUGGUCUGAGAGGAUGAUCAGCCACACUGGAACUGAGACACGGUCCAGACUCCUACGGGAGGCAGCAGUGGGGAAUAUUGGACAAUGGGCGAAAGCCUGAUCCAGCCAUACCGCGUGAGUGAAGAAGGUCUUCGGGUUGUAAAGCCCUUUUGUUGGGAAAGAAAAGCAGCAGGUUAAUACCCCGCUGUUCUGACGGUACCCAAAGAAUAAGCACCGGCUAACUUCGUG
rnacentral:rRNA from 1 species